rnacentral:rRNA from 1 species
UACGAAGGGGGCUAGCGUUGCUCGGAUUGACUGGGCGUAAAGGGCGCGUAGGCGGCUUGUACAGUCAGACGUGAAAUUCCUGGGCUCAACCUGGGGGCUGCGUUUGAUACGUAUGGGCUUGAGUUCGGAAGAGGGUCGUGGAAUUCCCAGUGUAGAGGUGAAAUUCGUAGAUAUGACAUAGAACACCGAUUGCGAAGGCAGCUUACUACACGAUCAUUGACACUGAGGCACGAAAGCGUGGGGAGCAAACAGG